GAUAGUGUUACGGUAGUAUCGGAGAUGCCUCGGAUUUAUAUCCGAAACGUAAAUUUCGGAGUGGCUGACCAUAUAUAUGCUGAGAAGAGGUGCCCACAGCCAUAUACAUGCUGAUAUGAGUUAUCCUGAGAUGAAUUGAGCUAUCUUGAGCUAUGUGCUGAGAAGAGCUACAUGCUGAUAUGAGUUAUCCUGAUAUAAGCUGAG
rnacentral:lncRNA from 1 species